CCCUGCCUCUGUAUUCCCAUAGCCUGCUACAGACCUCCACGACAUCACAUGAAAGGUACCAGCUAAACAGAUGUGGGGUGAUUAACCAUCCACUCCAAGGAACACAUGUGGGAAGGUAUCCGUCAGUGGAGCAGGUUUGCAAAUACACGACACACGAGACUCGCCACUGGCCUUAAUGAAGCCUGCAUCAUUCGGUGCUGAAAGCAAAAGAUGACGAGCUCCAUGAGGGCCAAGGCUCUCCAUUCUUGUUCACCACUGCACACUCAGGAGCUCAUGGCAUGCUGGCUGUGCUAGUUCUAUCCUCAACAGAAUAAUUGCUGACAAACUCUCUUGCCCAGAAAAUGUCUACUGGAAUUAUGGAGUACAAAAAAACUACAAAAGCAAUGAAAAAAAGAAGGAUGUUUUAUUUACAUCCUAUUUCAAAACCAUUGCUUUCUUGCUAUUGUAUGUCUCUGCAGGCCCAAUAUCGCGCAUCUUCAUAAGAAGUUUAGAAUUGUUCCUUAUGUUUCCUUCUAACAAACACUGGUGUUAAGUUUCAAGAAGUUGGUGAAAUGGAGACAGCCAAUCCAACCCAGGAGACAGUGUUUGAAAACAGGG
rnacentral:lncRNA from 10 species